AAUAGAUACCCCCGGUAGUCCACCCCGUAAACGUUGGGACUAGUUGUGGGGUCCGUUUCCACGGAUUCCGUGACGCAGCUAACGCAUUAAGUUCCCCGCCUGGGGGAGUACGGCCGCAAGGCUAAAACUCAAAGGAAUUGACGGGGGCCCGCACAAGCGGCGGAGCAUGCGGAUUAAUUUCGAUGCAACGCGAAGAACCUUACCAAGGCUUGACAUACACCAGAACACCCUAGAAAUAGGGGACUCUUUGGACACUGGUGAACAGGUGGUGCAUGGUUGUCGUCAGCUCGUGUCGUGAGAUGUUGGGUUAAGUCCCGCAACGAGCGCAACCCUCGUUCUAUGUUGCCAGCACGUUAAUGGUGGGAACUCAUGGGAUACUGCCGGGGUCAACUCGGGAGGAAGGUGGGGAUGACGUCAAAUCAUCAUGCCCCCUUAUGUCUUUGGGGCUUUCACGCAUGCUACAAUGGCCGGGUACAAAGGGGCUGCAAUACCGUGAGGUGGAGCGAAUCCCAAAAAACGCCGGGUUCCCAGUUCGGAUUGAGGUCUGCAACUCGACCUCA
rnacentral:rRNA from 1 species